rfam:Gossypium arboreum cultivar AKA8401 contig_100160_1, whole genome shotgun sequence.
CGAUGCGGGAUGAACCGGAAGCCGGGUUACGGUGCCCAACUGCGCGCUAACCUAGAACCCACAAAGGGUGUUGGCCGAUUAAGACAGCAGGACGGUGGUCAUGGAAGUCGAAAUCCGCUAAGGAGUGUGUAACAACUCACCUGCCGAAUCAACUAGCCCCGAAAAUGGAUGGCGCUUAAGCGCCAUCCAUUUUAGGGGCUAGUUGAUUCGGCAGGUGAGUUGUUACACACUCCUUAGCGGAUUUCGACUUCCA